rnacentral:rRNA from 1 species
CAGUAGCCGCGGUAAUACGAAGGGGGCUAGCGUUGUUCGGAUUUACUGGGCGUAAAGCGCACGUAGGCGGAUCGAUCAGUCAGGGGUGAAAUCCCAGAGCUCAACUCUGGAACUGCCUUUGAUACUGUCGAUCUGGAGUAUGGAAGAGGUGAGUGGAAUUCCGAGUGUAGAGGUGAAAUUCGUAGAUAUUCGGAAGAACACCAGUGGCGAAGGCGACAUACUGGUCCAUUACUGACGCUGAGGCUCGAAAGCGUGGGGAGCAAACAGGAUUAGAUACCCGUGUAGUCCCUGUCUCUUAUAC